rnacentral:rRNA from 1 species
CAGCCGCCGCGGUAAAACAGAGGGUGCGAGCGUUAAUCGGAUUUACUGGGCGUAAAGCGUGCGUAGGCGGCUAAUUGAGUCGGAUGUGAAAUCCCCGAGCUUAACUUGGGAAUUGCAUUCGAUACUGGUUAGCUAGAGUGUGGGAGAGGAUGGUAGAAUUCCAGGUGUAGCGGUGAAAUGCGUAGAGAUCUGGAGGAAUACCGAUGGCGAAGGCAGCCAUCUGGCCUAACACUGACGCUGAGGUACGAAAGCAUGGGGAGCAAACAGGAUUAGAUACCCCCGUAGUCCCUGUCUCUUAUAC